rnacentral:tRNA from 1 species
UGGGUCAAAGCUUUAGAAAUAGCGUCUCAGUUACGUUGAGAAGAUCACUAUAAUUUAGUGUGGCUUAA